GACCCAGUGGCGAAGUGGUUCGCAUCCGUCAAACUUAUCGAUUGGGACAAUUUUCCGCGGAAGACACCCGUUCGAUUCGGGUUUGGGUCA